CCUACGGGGGGCAGCAGUGGGGAAUAUUGCACAAUGGGGGAAACCCUGAUGCAGCAACGCAGCGUGAGUGAAGGAGUAUUUCGGUAUUUAAAGCUUUUUCAGUAGGGAAGAAGAGUGACGGUACCUGACUAAUAUGUCCCGGCUAACUACGUGCCAGCAGGCGCGGUAAUACGUAGGGGGCAAGCGUUUUCCGGAUUUACUGGGUGUAAAGGGAGCGUAGACGGCUGUGCAAGUCUGAAGUGAAAGCCCGUGGCUCAACCGCGGAAUUGCAUUGGAAACUGUAUGGCUUGAGUACUGGUGAGGCAGGCGGAAUUCCUAGUGUAGCGGUGAAAUGCGUAGAUAUUAGGAGGAACACCAGUGGCGAAGGCGGCCUGCUGAACAGAAACUGAAGUUGAGGCUCGAAAGCGUGGGGAGCAAACAGGAUUAGAUACCCGAGUAGUC
rnacentral:rRNA from 1 species